rnacentral:sRNA from 1 species
AAAAAAAAAGGCAAAAA